AAUUCACAACAGUUGCAAACUGAUAUUUAAUGUUGCAUCACAGAAGAGUGGCUGUCUGGGGAUGUUUGUGCUGCCGUGUCACAGACCCUUUUAUUUCCAGCAUUCCCUGCCUGACACUCUUCUUUUAGGGCUGGAAAGUGUUUCCAGGGCCUGUUCACUACCAAAACCAGAGGUCUCCAGCCCCAAGCUGGACUCUGCAUAGACCCAGCUGGAACUUAACUAAACAAUGCAUCUCUCAGGACAAAAAGAGAGAAAUCCCGGCGGUGGGGGUCAGUUUGCUGGGAGUAGAGACAUCAGUCAGACGCAGAACGUUGGCCAAGCGCUUCCUCGGGUGCUUCACUCGGGGAACCUUGGGGGAAAAGCUGAGUCCCUCCAUCUGCUCGGUGAGAAAUCGUGCUGAGAGAGACGAGGAGCCUGGCUCUUCCCAAAGAAACAGCCCCUCCUUGCUUCCACUCAAGCAGUGCUUUGCCAGAAAGACAUGGAAUUGAUGAAGAAUGCAAAAACUCACAGCUUGUUGCUCCCUCCUCAUCCCCCCACUGAGAAUGAAAACUUGAUUUUUCCAGAAAACUUUUUUUUUUUGGGUUUGUUUUUCUGAAAUAUUUAUUUAUUUAUUCAUUCCCGUGCUUAGUAAUUAAAACAUUUUCUGGCAGGAAAAAAAUAAAAAAUAAAAAAGAGAGAAAUACCCAAAACGUAACCACCGUGCAUUACCAGAGGAAGAGAAAGGCUGCAAUUGCCAUAAAUAACACAGUGGGUCAUGAAUAAUUCAAACCAGAAUAUGGUUGUUAUUGUAAGGAGUUAUCACAGCUAAUUAUAGCCCAUUGCCAUCGUUCCCUCCAAAGCUCUGGCAUUGAUCACUGCAGGACAUGCCAAAUAUUUCACUAAAACAAAAUAUUGUGCUGGAUGCUUCCCUGUGGAUCAGCACGUCUUUCACUGAGAGAGUUUAUUGUUCUUCAGGGGUUUUUGCCCUUGGAUCAUGGCUGGAAGGAAAUUAAGAAGACCUUUCACUUAACCAAAUUGUUCAUCUCCAUCAGUCAAUUGGUCCCUGCAGACCCUUCCCAAAGUUGUUC
rnacentral:lncRNA from 1 species